UACAAACUUAGUCGCUCCUUCCUC
rnacentral:siRNA from 1 species